CCUACGGGCGGCUGCAGUGAGGAAUAUUGGUCAAUGGACGGAAGUCUGAACCAGCCAUGCCGCGUGCAGGAAGACGGCUCUAUGAGUGGUAAACUGCUUUUGUACAAGGGUAAACCUGAAUACGUGAAUACAGCUGAAAGUACUGUACGAAUAAGGAACGGCUAACUCCGUGCCAGCAGCCGCGGUAAUAGGGAGUAUCCAAGCGUUAUCCGGAUUUAUUGGGUUUAAAGGGUGCGUAGGCGGAUUGGUAUGUUAGAGGUGAAAUGUCCGAGCUUAACUCGGGAACUGCCUCUAAUACUGUUGAUCUAGAGAGUAGGUGCGGUAGGCGGAAUGUAUGGUGUAGCGGUGAAAUGCUUAGAGAUCAUACAGAACACCGAUUGCGAAGGCAGCUUACCGGUCUAUAUCUGACGUUGAGGCGCGAAAGCGUGGGGAGCAAACAGGAUUAGAUACCCUUGUAGUC
rnacentral:rRNA from 1 species